rnacentral:tRNA from 1 species
GACGUGUGCCCGAAAGCUAGGGCUUAUCUUGAUAGGAUAAUAUAUAGAAGUUCAAAACCUCUCAC